AUGGACCCUAAACCUAAACUAAAUUAUAAUUCAUUUGAAAGCCUUGUUCUUAGUCUUUCUCACCCAAACUGGAAAACACUGCAGCCAGUUCUAUUUGUUAUAGUGUACCGCGCUCCUGGACCGUACUCUGAUUUUAUAUCUGAAUUCUCAGAGUUUCUAUCAAGUUUAGUCCUUAAAUCAGAUAAAGUAAUUAUUGUAGGUGAUUUUAAUAUUCAUGUGGAUGUUGACAAUGACAGCCUUAGUAAUGCAUUUAUAUCAUUGAUAGACUCAAUUGGCUUCUGUCAGAGUGUAAAUAAACCAACUCAUUGUUUUAAUCACACUCUUGACCUUGUUUUAUCAUAUGGCAUUGAUAUUGAACAUUUAAUAGUCUUCCCACAUAAUCCUUUCCUAUCUGACCAUUAUUUAAUAACUUUUGAAUUCAUACUAUUAGAUUAUAAGCCAUUAGGCAAAACUUCCUACAGCAGAUGUCUAUCUGACGGUGCUGUAGCUAAAUUUAAGGAGGAGAUUCCUUCAGUGUUUAAUUCAAUGCCAUGUCUGAAUUUAACAGAGUCCUAUAACAACUUUAGUCCCUCUGAAAUUAAUAAUCUUGUUGAUAGUGCUGCAGGCUCACUACGAUCAACAUUAGACUCUAUCGCUCCAAUAAAAAGGAAAUUAUUAAAACAUAGGAGACUAGCACCUUGGUAUAACCACCAAACCCGCCAGUUAAAACAAAUAGCUAGGAAAUCUGAAAGGAAAUGGCGCUCUUCCAAAUUAUCAGAAUAUCGCUCAAUUUGGCAAGAUAAUCUUAAAACCUAUAGAAAGGCCCUCCGUAAUGCCAGAGGAGCCUAUUACUCAGCACUAAUAGAAGAAAAUAAGAACAACCCAAGGUUCCUCUUCAGCACUGUAGCCAGGCUGACAGAGAGUCACAGCUCUAUUGAGCCACAUAUCCCCAUAAACUUAAGUAGCAACGACUUCAUGAGCUUCUUUUAUAAUAAAAUGAUUACUAUUAGAGAGAAAAUUAAUCACCAACUGCCAUCAACAGUUAUCAGUGGCUCUCCAAGUUCAGGGACUUUUACUAAUGUAAACUUAGAUAUAUAUUUAGACUGUUUUUCUGCUAUCGAUCUUCAUCAGUUAACUUCAAUAAUUUCUUCAUCGAAGCCAUCAACCUGUCUAUUAGACCCGAUCCCAACGAGGCUGCUUAAAGAAGUUGUUCCCUUAAUUGGCACUUCUUUACUGGAUAUGAUUAAUCUUUCUUUAUUAUCAGGAUAUGUACCACAGUCCUUUAAAGUAGCUGUAAUUAAACCCCUUCUUAAAAAGCCCACUCUUGACCCAGGGGUUUUAGACAACUAUAGACCGAUCUCUAACCUCCCCUUCCUCUCUAAGAUUCUGGAGAAAGUAGUCGCCAAAGAGUUGUGUGACUUUCUACAUAACAAUAGUUUAUUUGAGGAUUUUCAGUCAGGAUUUAGAGUUCAUCAUAGCACAGAGACAGCUCUGGUUAAAGUUAAUAAUGACCUUCUGACUGCUUCUGACAAUGGACUUGUCUCUGUACUUGUAUUAUUAGAUCUUAGUGCUGCAUUUGACACUAAAAAACCUUAG
rnacentral:lncRNA from 15 species